CAGUUCGGACUGCAGUCUGCAACUCGACUGCACGAAGUCGGAAUUGCUAGUAAUCGCGGAUCAGCAUGCCGCGGUGAAUACGUUCCCGGGCCUUGUACACACCGCCCGUCACACCAUGAGAGUCGGGAACACCCGAAGUCCGUAGUCUAACCGCAAGGAGGACGCGGCCGAAGGUGGGCUUGAUAAUUGGGGUGAAGUCGUAACAAGGUAUC
rnacentral:rRNA from 1 species